GGACAUUAGUAGUGGGAAUAAAAACGCGCGGUCGAUCAGAAACUACCACAACAGCCAAGAUGCAUUGGUUCUUACUAUUGUGUGCUGUGGUCGUAGUGAUUGUCGGAGUUAUGGCGGACGAUGAUUAUACCAGCAGUUACGCCGAGCUGGCGUCUCCAGUUCCCCCGAGCGUCAACGUUGAUGAGCUGGUGGCCAGUCUCCGUGCAGCGAGCAACCUUCCCUGAUUCUAACAGCCCAAUCUCCCACUAAAUCAAUUGGAAACCGAGAUCGAAAUGGUAUAAAUCGGCUCUGUAGGUUAAUGGUUAUUUAUUAAAGUAUGAAGCGUGUUUUGUCAUAUAA